UUCAUAGCUCAGUUGGUAGAGCAGAGGACUGAAAAUCCUUGUGUCAGUGGUUCAAUUCCACUUGAA
rnacentral:tRNA from 1 species